CUGAGUGACUGGAAGGAGUGAGGCAAGGGUUUACCCCUUCCCAGACCUCAUGUAAGGGUUGGAAGUGAAGGUAAGAGUAUCUUGCUGGAGAUCCCUGUCUACCUGAAACUUUCCAAGGGUGUAGAAAGUUGGCCCAGCAGCUGAACGACCACAGGAACAGGAGUACAUAGGAGGGGCUGGGAGAGGAGGUACAGGGGCUGAGAAGAGCUUCUUGAAGGUCAAAGGAACUGCUGAGUGCUGAAGGUGAGGGUAGGACACAAAGUAGCACCCCCAAGAUUUGCCCCUUGAAGUCAUGCCAUAGCAGAACAGGCUUUUCUACACUUUUAAUAGUCUCUACAACAGCUCCACACAGAACUACAUGUAUUAGAGCAGCUAACACGCUCAGCAGCCAGCAUGGAGUGCAUUGGUUUUACAAAGAUGUAUGCUGCAUACACGUUAUUUUCAACUAUUUCUUCAUACAGUCAUUCUCUCCCCUCCUACACAUCUCUCCAUUUUAGGAGUAGAGACAAACUGAAAAAAAGGGAAACCGGCUCUUGAACUGUUUUAUUUACCACUUUUGGCUGCAAACAGUUGAACUGAUUUUAUUAUGAGAAAUCCCAUCCCACAUGCUCUUAACACAGUUUCCAGAACACAUACUUUAGUAUGUUCACUAUUUUCCCUGUUUGGACAAAGUACAUCUGUGUGACCUUCCCUUCCAUGCAGACACAAUGGAAAGAACAGAACACAGGUGGUACAGACUUAAUGAUGCACCAGGAGGAUACCAAAUUCCUUCCACUGCUAACAUCUGAACCAAGCUACUCAGACUCAGGAGUUAGUUCUAACCAAGGGUUGGCAUUAUUAGUAACUGCCUCUUUUUUUGUCCAAAGGGAGAACGCUUCCCAUUUUCUUAAGGAAGGGGUGGGAAAGGGCAGUGACAAGAGCUCCAAAAAGCACAUUUACAGUAGUUUACCAAAGAAGAUAAUCUGGAACAACACUCCCACCUGCUGGGCCAUUUACUUACUGCAGUAGGGAAUUUAGCAGUAUGGG